rnacentral:tRNA from 1 species
GAGGGUUAAGCUCAGUGGUAGAGCAUCUGCCUAGCAUGCAUGAUGUUCUUCCUGGGUUCAAUCCCCAGGACCUUCA